rnacentral:tRNA from 1 species
GCGCCUUUAGCUCAGUUGGUAGAGCACUGGACUUUUAAUCCAUUGGUCGUGGGUUCGAGCCCCACAGGGCGCACCG